rnacentral:rRNA from 1 species
AUUGAACGCUGGCGGCAGGCCUAACACAUGCAAGUCGAACGAGUGGCGGACGGGUGAGUACUGUCUGGGAAACGGCCUGAUGGAGGGGUAUAACUACUGGAAACGGUAGCUAAUACCGCAUACCAUCGGAUGUGCCCAGAUGGGAUUAGCGAGUUGGUGGGGUAAAGGCUAACCUAGGCGACGAUCCCUAGCUGGUCUGCGAGGAUGACCAGCCACAGUGGAACGGAGACACGGUCCAGACUCCUACGGGAGGCAGCAGUGGGGAAUAUUGCACAAUGGGGGCAAACCUGAUGCAUCCAUGCCGCGUGUAUGAAGAAGGCCUUCGGGUUGUAAAGUACUUUCAGCGGGGAGGCGUUACCCGCAGAAUAAGCACCGGCUAACUCCGUGCCAGCAGCCGCGGUAAUAC